AUGGCGAGUGGCGAACGGGUGAGUAAUGCAUCGGAACGUGCCCAGUCGUGGGGGAUAACGCAGCGAAAGCUGUGCUAAUACCGCAUACGACCUACGGGUGAAAGCGGGGGACCGAAAGGCCUCGCGCUAUUGGAGCGGCCGAUGGCUGAUUAGCUAGUUGGUGGGGUAAAGGCUCACCAAGCCGACGAUCUAUAGCUGGUCUGAGAGGACGACCAGCCACACUGGAACUGAGACACGGCCCAGACUCC
rnacentral:rRNA from 1 species